rnacentral:misc_RNA from 1 species
CUGACCCGCUGAUACAGGAAACAAGCCUGCGCAUGUGUGGCAAGAAAUUCCUGGCGACCGAAAAUAACAAGUACAAACUUAGAAAAAUCUUUACCUGAGAAGCCAUGCUUUUGGACAGAAUUCAAACAUGAAUUAUAGUGUGUUUAAACUUCAGAAUCAGGCUGGUAGACCUGCCAUAUUUUGGGAAAAGGAUUUAUUCGGUUUUCCAACUGUGCCUCGUCUUCUACCUAAUAUAGAAACCGUUCCAAAGAAAGACAGAAAGUUUGGUUACAAGAAGAACGAUCAGAGAUUCCCGAUCCGAAAAUUCCCAAACGAUAGGCACCAUAUUGACACAGACCUCGUUUCCUUAACCCCAGAUGAACCCCACCCGCCACCAAAACCGGCCAAAAAUUUCAUCAAGCGAAACAAAGAAAAAGUAGCUCCAAAAGCAGAGCCCCCUAGCACGGUGACUUUAACUCAGGAUCAGUUAAACGCUAUACUCAGGUCUGUUGGUAAAGUUGCCGGAGGCAGUGAAAAUGCUGUCAAGAUUACUGUAGAUAAACACAAUGAUACCAAAGAGAUAGUUGUAGAAUCGCCACGGCGGCAUGACCGUGAUGAUGACAAAUAUGAUGACGAUGAUGAUGAUGAUUACGAUGAUCGUAAAGAAAGGAGAAGAAAGAAGAAAUCUAAUAGGAAACAAGAAGAUCAGAGUAAUAGCAUUUAUUCUCUCAUGGAGGGAAAAAAUAAACCAAAGGCCUCUUCUGACACUGAGAGCAUCAAUAGUGAUGGAAGUUUAGAACUGCGGAGAUUAACUAGGCAAUAUAAGCGAAGAAAAGACAGGAAAUCAAGACGGCAAGAAGAAGAUGAUGAGGAAGAAGAUCGUCACGUGCGAGAUAAGAAUCGCAGAAAUAAAAACACUGAUAUAGAUGAUGAUGAUAAUUUAAGAGAAAAAAGACAUCGCAGAAAUAGGUCAAAUAAUUUACAGGAUGAAAUUGAUAGAGAAAUUGCAGAACUAAGAAGACAUAAUAAGUCAAAGCAUAGUAGAGAUGUAGAAAAUGAUAGUGAUAAUGGAAAAGAAAAUAGACGUAGACGUACUCGAUCAAAGCGUCGUGAAUCUGACGAUGAAGAGUUUGAUAAAGAUUAUGACAGAAAAGAACGUACAAAAAAGAGUGAUCACUCUAAGGAUGUGAAAGGAAUGAAAUCUAGAAAUAGAAGUGAAGAAAGAGAUUUAGACUUUCAUAAUACUAGUUCUAAUAAAGAGAAUGAGGAACUGUUACCUUCUCCCAGAGAUAAAAUUGGUCUUCCUACAGAUUUAUCUUGGAGACAUAUGACCAAAGCUGAAAGGAGGCGGCUUGAAAUGGCAAGACAGAAACUUACUGAUGAAGAAGAAAGAAAAGAAGAAGAGAGAAUUAAGCAUCUAAAUGCUCAGUAUGACCCAGGCGAGUCUUUCAAGAAACCUCCUCAACGUCAUGUGCCCACUCGCUCUGACCCGCCAGCAACGCGUCAGACUAGAUAUGACAGAGGUCGUGAAACAGAGAACACUAACUACACAGAUGGUAACAGACAUGGUCGGAGGUCAAGGUCACCAUCAGAUCAGAGGUCACCAGAUAGGUCACCAGAUUUGCCAUCAUACACAACUCCAGAUACAAGUCCAAAAGCACCAGUUGGCAUACCGAGACGUCACAUGACAUUGGCAGAGAAAAAGAGACUUGAAUGGGAAAGAGAGAGAGUGGAAUCCGUCCAGAUGGAACGUGUCGGUAAUUUUGAUCCUUGGGGACGGCCUGGAGCAGGAGCGCCAAUUCGUACAAGAUCUGGUCACGUGGUGGCUGAUUACAAGGGCAGACAGGACCAGAUGCAUAGUGAUGCUAUACCAGAAGAGGAACCAUCAACAGAGACCGGGAAACAGAAAGAGCUGAGUACCAGACCUCAGGAGAAGAGGAGACCAGCACGAGGAAAGUCUCCGCCACCUCAAGCACCUCAACCAGAUCUAGAUAAAAACAUUCCUAUAACCAUGAGGAGUUCAUUUGUGUUAGGGCAAGCUGCCCCUGAUUAUGAUAAACUUACAAGUGCUAAAGAAAGAGAAAGAAAGCAGUGGCUGGCAGACCUAGAGCGGCAGAUUGAAGAAAAACGUCAGAUGGAGACGAAACAGAAAGAAACAAAAACAGAGGACACUUGGGCAGAUAAAUUUGGCCAGUCACAUCGCCCUAUGCCGUUCCCAGAGCAGCCAAGGGAAACUGGGCUGGGAGAUAAAUUAAACACGAGUACAGAUCAUGUUGGUGCUUUGCUGGAGACUGCUCGUGUACAGAGUGCCCCCGAGGGAGACCAAGUGGAUAAUUCUUCCUAUAUCAGAGGACAGAAUGCACCAAUUGACCCAGUUACAAAGAAGGAACUUGAGGAGAAACGCAAAAGAUAUCUUGAACACCAGGCAGCUGUAAAGGCUCAGGUAGAAGAGAAGGAGAGACUGAAGAGAAUGGAGAGAGAAAGAAAAAUGAAAGAGGACAUGGAAGAAGAAAGAAAGCUACAAGAAGAGAGGCAAGUGCUACAGAAACAGUUUGAUAUGGAGCAGCAAAAGAUUAAACAAAAAGAGCAACAAAGACAAGCACAAGUGAACCAGCUGAAGGCUGCCAUGGAUGAGGCCCAAGCCAAGGCCCUGCAGGAGAAAUAUCAACGAAAAAUGCAACAUCUGGAGGCAGGUGGACAUGACACCAAGAAACUGAGGGAACAUCUAGAAGGGGAGAUAACAAGUAGGAUAGAGCAGUUACAUACCCGUCGUGAACGUGAUAUCCUGCGUGCACGUCAGCUCCUAGAGCUGCAGCACUGGGGUGUCACUAUAGCAGAGGAAGAUGAAGAGAACCAAUCACAAGUACCGGCCGAACAACCUAAAGAUGCAAAGAUCACACCCAGAGAUGAAAGUGUGACGGGCAUGGAAACAUCACAUAUCCCAGGUCUUGAUCUCAGUACAGCACGCACACACUUUCCACCUCAGAUGCCGACAACACGCCGAGACCAGUCACAAGGUCACUACAGCCAGGCUCAGGGACACUCACAGGGACACUACGGUCAAGGGCAGUCUCAACCACAUGAACCAUAUACCGAGGAUCGAGUUUUGACUCCAAGUCGAUUCAGGCACCCUUCAAAACCUUGGAGUGACCCAGGCUCCCCACGGCGGGAGUUUGGUACUCAAACUGGUAAUCUGAAUGACUCUGCCUCAGACUUAGAUGGAGAUGAACUGUCACAGCUGUUGAAUCCUCGGUUACAGCGGGAUUACAGUGAGGUGAAUAUUGAGUAUAGAUACGAGAAGGGUAAGAAGGUCAGGGUUAUCAGUGCACCGAAGGAAGCACUUGAAAAGCGGUCAAGAAAACUAAAGCAGCCACACCCACCUCCAUCUUUCAGAGAACAUUCAAGAAGUCCACAUGAACACCAUCACGAGGUUAGGAAUAAAAUAGAAAAGGAGGAAAACAGUAGGAAAAAGAGAUUAGAGUUACAGAGGCGGAAAGGUCCAGUCAAACCUGGUAGUCGACCUAUGUGGGGCUAUAAAAAUCCUGACAGUAAAAAGCCUAAAAAACAGUCAGAGAGAGAUCCCUUUUACGAGCAGAAAAAACGGGAAAGUGAAAUGAGGAGAUUAAAAAGAGAACAUAAACUUCUUGCCAUGGUGGAAGCCAAUAAACCAGUCAUUCCAGAUUAUUAUGUACCGCCACCAAAAUCUUCUCGAUCAAGGUCUCGUGAUUUAUCCCCUUUAUCUGAUUUGGAAAUGGCCAGUCCUCGUGAGGUACGUCCGAGUCGUAGGUCUAAGUCUCAUUCUCCAAACAGGUUGGUGCUACAGGGUGAAAUUGACCAUUCAUAUGGUCAUCAAAAUGAAGGAAAAUCUCCCGACAGAAGAAGAAAUCAAAAUAGAUCUCCAUCUCCCAGAGGGAGGAGAGAAUCUCCAACACAAGACAGAACUGUAGAUAAUCGGCUAAGUAGAACGAGAAAUACCUCACCCCCUAUACCUGCUCUAAGACAUAGAUCUGAUGCAAAUCAAAAUGUAGAAAAUGACACAAGAAAUAGAAAAGGUGGGAAAUAUGGGGACCGUGAUCCUCUGGAUGUCCCUAUUCCAAAUGGAGACUUUGUGCCUUUUACACGAACAGUAGAUAUCCUUGACCCUACCAAGGCUGAGGAACCGGUUCCUUUAUCAAGGGAAGCAACUCGUGUAGCUAAUGCAAGACGAGCAUACUAUGAGGGUUUACAUCCUGAGAAGUUUGGUAAUCGACAGUAUGUAUUUCAGGACAAACAUCGUGUGCUUCCUGCUGGAGACGAUGGAGGAAAGAAUCCACUGAUGAAUCCUAGUCUUGUACUGGAUCAUCCAACAACCAGACAGGAUCAGAUUUUGGUGCAGCUUUCAACACUGAAACAGAGUUUAAUGCAGAGACAGAGAGAAUUGGAAACAUUUUCACCUACAGACUUAUAUAGAAUGGAUACAGACAUAAAAGCUUGAGUAGAGAAUGACAGAGAGAAUUGAAAACAUUUUCACCUACGGACUUAUAUAGAAAGGAUACAGACAUAAAAGCUUGAGUAGAGAAUGACAGAGAGAAUUGAAAACAUUUUCACCUACGGACUUAUAUAGAAUGGAUACAGACAUAAAAGCUUGAGUAGAGAAUGACAGAGAGAAUUGAAAACAUUUUCACCUACAGACGUACUUAGAAUGGAUACAGACAUAAAAGCUCGAGUAGAUAAUGAUGGGUAGAUUGCCUGUCAGGGCACAAGGAUUAAGUCAUAAAGUUAAAAAUGAUUUUAUUAAGUAGCAGAAUAGGUAUAUUAUUUAGAAAUUAUUUAUCACAAUAGAUAUAAUCUGGGAAAAAAGAUUGGCUGAUAUUUUUUAAACCUUACCUUUAAUGUUUUAAAGACAAAGGAGUUGGAUCAUAUAACUAUAUAUAUGAUUUAGUUUAACUGCACACUUUUCAAAAUCUAGGUUUUUGUAUUCCAACACAGCCUCUGCAUCCAUGGUGAUUUGACAUAAAAAAAAAUCAGUUAGAAUGUAAUUGUUUGCAUUACUUUAGGAGAAAGAUCUUCUACCACUGGUGGAAAAUGUUCAAACAUGCAUAGGUACUAUUUCUGCUGCAAGUUUUUCUAAGUGCUUGAGUUUUAUGACAGAAUUUGUCUUAUCAAGUAAUACUAGCAAGUUGUGUUACAGUGGUAUCAGUAGUGAAAAGGUAACUUUUUCCUUAUCAUAGGUCAACUGCAUGUCAUUUGAUUUAUGGUAGCUUAGAUAGUUGCCUAGCUGUGCUUCUAGAUUUCUUACUUGAGCAAAAACAGCUAUCAGCAAGUAACACGCAAUUGUAAAGCAAGUAAAACAAUUUACCCAGAUGAACACUUGUCUCACGAAAUUGAGCAGAAAGCACAAAAGUCCAAAAGUAUGACAAAGACUCUCAACUUGAACAAAGAUAGGAAUCGAAUGGCCUUCAGACAUAUAAGGUCAAACCACCACUUAGACUUGAUGGGAUUGAAAGGUUAAUGUCAAAUUUUAAGCUGUUACUGUCUUUAAUAUUCUAAGAAAAUUCUAUUUUAAAACUUUUCCAGAGAUUAUUUCUAACUGCAUCUCAAUAUUAGUGGAGAUUUGAUCUUAAGUUUGGUUCUAAAUGACAUGGCCCUUUGUCUUGUAUCUUUGUUUAAAGUGGGAAAACUUUCUACCACCUGGUAAGAAAUUAGGGAACAUAAAUAAGUAACUUUCUAAAACCUUGUUGACAGACAUCCAAGUAUUGCUUGAAUUUACUUUUGGCUAGUUUAAAAGAAGGUACUUGUUCAUGAAUAACUAAUAAUUAAUCUUGGAUAAAUCCCUCUGACGACUUUCAGUUUAAUUUAAUAUUUGAGCAGCCAUGUAAAAUAUCUGUAAGUCCUGGAGUUGUCUUUUAAGGCCACAUCAACACACUUAUUUUGUCUGAAUUUCUGUUCAAUUUUAAACAAAAUUGGAUUCAAUAUAACUGUUUACAAUAAUGGAAGAAUGUAUUGCCUUGGCACAGGUCAGCUCCUUGUCAGUCAUUGUCAUAGAUUUAAGUUUACUGGAUAUUUGUGCCAGAAAUAUGCCUGUUUGUGCUCCUGGGUUUCUUACUUGUACAAACCGCUGUAAGCAAGUAACACAGUUGUGAAGCAAGUAACACAUUUAUCACAGAAGUAAUUAAUCUGUGCAGCAAUUAGCACAGAAGUCUGUAAGUAUGCCAUAGGACUGUCUCAACUUAAACAAAGAUAGGAAUGAAAUGUCUUUCAGACAUACAAACAAGGUCAGAUCACCUUUAAGACACAAUGGUACAGAAUGUGAAAGCAAUUAUAUGUAUGUGGAUUGUUAACAAUUCUAUUUUAAAAUUUCAAGUAAGUUAUAUUUAAAACUCUUACAGAUCCUAUUCCAGUCAUAUUCUUGUAUCCAUGGAGAUUUGAUUUUAAGUAUGUUUGUUAUUGCAAAGGUCAUUAUGUCUCCUACCUUUGUUUUAAGUGCGAAAACUUUCUACUACCUGGUAAGAAAUUAAUGGACAUAUUAUAGGUACCUUUCUGAAAACUUGUUGACAGACAUCCAAGUGUUGUUUGAAUUACUUUUGGCUGGUUUAAUGGGAGGUUGUUGUUUAGGUUACAGAUAUAUAACAUAUUGAAUUUCAAUCUCUUAGCAUUUUAGCAUGAAAUAUACUUCUAUUUCAUCUGUAUUUCUAGAGAAUUUUAAACAAUAUCAAAGUAUAUUGAGUAAUAGAAGAAUGGAGUUCUGCUUUGACAUAGGUCAACUGCAUGUCUGUAGAUUUUAUGGUGAGGCUAAAUUAGAGAGACAAAUUUUUCUGGAUCUUUGUGGCAGAUAGUUGUCUGUUUAUGCUCCUGGGUUUCUUACUUGUACAAAUUGCUGCUGUAUGCAGGUAACAUACAAUUGUGUAGCAAGUAACACAAUUAGCACAGAAGUCACAGAUGUCGUCUCAUGAUCAACACAAUUGUGUAGCAAGUAACACAGUUGUCACCGAAGUCACACAGAAAUGUUGAACAAGUAACUAAAUUGUGCAGCAAGAAGCACACAAAACUGUCUCAGCUUGAACAAAGAUAGGAAAUAAAUGUCCAUCAGACAUCAAGGACAAAUCACCUCUGAGACUGGAUGGGAUUGAAAGUUAAAAAGUCAUAUUUUAAGUUAUUCAGACUGCCUCUCAAUGGUUGUAUUUUAAAUAUCAAGAAAGCUGAAUUUAAAACUUUUCAUAUAGUAUUUCAGUUACAUCCAUAUAUCAGAGGAGAUUUGAUGAUAAGUGUGUUUCUUAUUUCAAUGGUCAUUUUUCUCCUACCUCUGUUUUAAGUGGGAAAACUUUCUACCACCUGGUAAGAAACUUAGGAACAUAGAUAGGUAACCACAAUGGGAGUAGCCAGGAAUCAACGCUUGGCCUUCACCUCUGUAGGAAAGCGUCUUGGCUCUCUGGGUCGGUGAAUUUCCUUUUGCCUUGCAUAUUGGGAGGUUUUUGUGAUUGUAACAGAAUGUGAAAAUAUCAGAUAAUCUUGGAUAUAUUCCUCUGAAGGCAAACAGUGACUUGGUCUCUUAGUUUAGUUUUUUUGCAGCUGUGUUUUAAUUCUGACACAGAUAGCUAAUAGACAUGUUACAAUGCCAUGAAAUGUACUUCUAUUUUGUCUGUAUUUCUGCAGAAUUUUGAACAGUAUCCCAGUAUAUUGAACUGGUAUCAGUAAUAGAAGAAUGGCAUAGGUCAACUGCUUGUCUAUAUAUUUGAUGGUUAGGUUAGCUUAGAUAGAUUUAAAUUCACUGGGUUUUAGUGGCAGAUAGUUGCCUGUUUAUGCUCCUGGGUUUCUUACUUGUACAAAGUGCUGUAUGAAAUUAACAUACAAUUGUGUAGCAAGUAACACAAUUAGCAUAGAAGUCACAGAUGUCGUCUCACAACCAACACAAUUGUGUAGCAAGUAACACAGUUGUCACCGAAGUCACACAGAAAUGUUGAACAAGUAACUAAAUUGUGCAGCAAGUAGCACAAAAAACUGUCUCAACUUGAACAAAGAUAGGAAAUAAAUGUCCAUCAGACAUCAAGGUCAAAUCACCUCUGAGACUGGAUGGGACUGAAAGUUUAAAAGUCAGAUUUUAAGUUAUCCAGACUGCCUCUCAGUGGUUGUAUUUUAAAUUUCAAGAAAAUUGUAUUUAAAACUUUUCAGGUAGUAUUUCAGUUACAUCCAUAUAUCAGAGGAGAUUUGAUUAUAAGUGUGUUUCUUACUUCAAUGGUCAUUGUUCUCCUACCUCUGUUUUAAGUGGAAAAACUUUCUACCACCUGGUAAGAAACUUAGGAACAUAGAUAGGUAACCACAAUGGGAGUAGCCAGGAAUCAACGAUGGGCCUUCACCUCUGUAGGAAAGCGUCUUGGCUCUCUGGGUCGGUGAAUUUCCUUUUGUAGUUCAUAUUGGGAGGUAUUUGUGAUUGUAACAGAAUGUGAAAAUAUCAGAUAAUCUUGGAUAUAUUCCUCUGAGGGCAAACAAUGACUCAGUUUCUUAGCUUAGUGUUUUAGCAGUCGUGUUUAACUUCUGACACAGAUAGCUUAUAGUCAUGUUACAACUGCAUGGAAUGUACUUUUAUUUUGUCAGUAUUUCUGCAGAAUUUUGAACAGUUUCCCAGUAUAUUGAACUGGUUAUCAGUAAUAGAAGAAUGGCAUAGGUCAACUGCUUGUCUAUAUAUUUGAUGAUUAGGUUAUCUUAGACAGAUUUAAAUUCACUGGGUUUUAGUGGCAGAUAGUUGCCUGUUUAUGGUCCUGGGUUUCUUACUUGUACAAAGAUUUUAGGUUAUUCAGACUGCCUCUCAAUGGUUGUUAUUUGAAUUUCAAGAAAGUUGUAUUUAAAACUUUUCAUCUAGUGUUUCAUUUACAUCCUUAUAUCAGAGGAGAUUUGAUUAUAAGUGCAUUUCUUACUACAGUGGUCAUUUUUCUCCUACCUUUGUUUUUAGUGGGAAAACUUUCUACCACCUGGUAAGAAACUUAGGAACAUAGAUAGGUAACCACAAUGGGAGUAGCCAGGAAUCAGUGCUUGGCCUUCACCUCUGUAGGAAAGCAUCUUGGCUCUCUGGGUCGGUGAAUUUCCUUUUGUCUUGCAUAUUGGGAGGUUUUUGUGAUUGUAACAGAAUGUGAAAAUAUCAGAUAAUCUUGGAUAUAUUCCUCUGAAGGCAAACAAUGACUUGGUCUCUUAGCUUAGUGUUUUAGCAGCCGUGUUUAACUUCUGACACAGAUAGCUAUUAGACAUGUUAUAACUGCAUGGAAUAUACUUUUAUUUUGUCAGUAUUUCUGCAGAAUUUUAAACAGUGUCACAGUAUAUUGAACUGGUAUUAGUAAUAGAAGAAUGGCAUAGGUCAACUGCUUGUCUAUAUAUUUGACGGUUAGGUUAUCUUAGAUAGAUUUAAAUUCACUGGGUUUUAGUGGCAGAUAGUUGCCUGUUUGUGCUCCUGUGUUUCUUACUUGUACAAACUGCUGUAUGCAAGUAACACACAAUAAUUAUUGUGUAGCAAGUAACACAAUUAGCACAGAAGUCACAGAUAUCGUCUCACAACCAACACAAUUGUGUAGCAAGUAACACAAUUGUCACAGAAGUCACACAUAAAUGUCGAACAAGUAACUAAAUUGUGCAGCAAGUAACACAGUUGUCACCGAUGUCACACAGAAAUGUUGAACAAGUAACUAAACUGUGCAGCACUAAAUACUGUCUCAACUUAAACAAAGAUAGGAAGUAAAUGUCCAUCAAACAUCAAGGUCAAAUCACCUCUGAGACUGGAUGGGAUUGAAAGUUUAAAGUCAUAUUUUAAGCACUUUUCAUGCAGACUGCCUCUCAAUGGUUUAUUUUAAAUUUCAAGAAAGUUGUAUUUAAAACUAUUCAGAUAGUAUUUCAGUUACAUCCAUAUAUCAGAGGAGAUUUGAUUAUAAGUGUGUUUCUUACUUCAAUGGUCAUUUUUCUCCUACCUCUGUUUUAAGUGGGAAAACUUUCUACCACCGGGUAAGAAACUUAGGAACAUAGAUAGGUAACCGUCUUAAAAAUUGUUGAACAUGCAUAUUUUUAAGUAUUGUUUAAAGGUAUGGAUAAAGGUAAAUUUUACUUACUGUUACUUGGUGAAACAACAUAAGCUCUAUAGAGCAUGUGAGGAACCGUAUUGUAAGAACCAUUUGAACCAAUCCCAUAUACCUUAUCUCCAGCAAGUUGCUAGUACCAAUUAACAGCUGGGUUGACUGAGGCAAUCAUGAUAAAGUGGCUUGCCCAAGGACACACCACAAUGGGAGUAGCCAGGAAUCAGUGCUUGGCCUUCACCUCUGUAGGAAAUCGUCUUGGCCCUCUGGGUUGGUGAAUUUCCUUUUGUCUUGCAUAUUGGGAGGUUUUUGUGAUUGUAACAGAAUGUGAAAAUAUCAGAUAAUCUUGAAUAUAUUCCUCUGAAGGCAAACAACGACUUGGUCUCUUAGCUUAGUGUUUUAGCAGCCGUGUUUAACUUCUGACACAGAUAGCUAAUAGUCAUGUUACAACUGCAUGGAAUGUACUUUUAUUUUGUCUGUAUUUCUGUAGAAUUUUAAACAAUAUCCCAGUAUAUGGAACUGGUAUCCGUAAUAGAAGAAUGGCAUAGGUCAACUGCUUGUCUAUAUAUUUGAUGGUUAGGUUAGCUUAGAUAGAUUUAAAUUCACUGGGUUUUAGUGGCAGAUAGUUGCCUGUUUAUGCUCCUGGGUUUCUUACUUGUACAAACUGCUGCUGUGUGCAAGUAACACACAAUUGUGUAGCAAGUAACACAAUUAGCACAGAAGUCACAGAUGUCGUCUCACUAUCAAGACAAUUGUGUAGCAAGUAACAGUUGUCACAGAAAUCACACAGAAAUGUUGAACAAGUAUCUAAAUUGUGCAGCAAGUAGCACAAAAGACUGUCUCAACUUGAACAAAGAUAGGAAGUUAAUGUCCAUCAGACAUCAAGGUCAAAUCACCUCUGAGACUGGAUGGGACUGAAAGUUUAAAAGUCAUAUUUCAAGUUACUCAAACCGCCUCUCAGUGGUUGUAUUUUAGAUUUCAAGAAAGUUGUAUUUAAAACUCUUCAGAUAGAAUUUCAGUUACAUCCAUAUAUCAGUGGAGAUUUGAUUUUAAGUAUUAAAGUUCUUAUUUUGUGUUACAAGAUUUUUCAUGAUUUCACUUAAAAUUUUAGCCUAGGUUCGAUUAUACUAAAACGUUCAGACUUGAUUUGUAAUUACUAAAAUACAGACACUUCUCAAAUUACAUUUUGCUUCAGUGAUUUUGGCUUUCUGCCUCGGAAAGUUUGUACCUUCUCAGGUUUAGCAGGUGCUGUAGAAACAAUAUGUUAACAAUUUGGGUAGACUAAAAUGAUUAACAUUGGUAUGUUUAAUUGAUAUUUGAUUGAAGUCAAAUUAGUUCUAGAUUCAGUGUGAAUAAAGCAGAUAUCAUUCUGACACAAAACUUGAAUGAGGAAAAACUUUGUACUGUCACCUUUGUGUAUUUGACUUUUAUGCACUAUAUCUAUUUAUUUGUUGGGUUUAACAUCGCUCUGACACAAUUAUAGGUCAUAUGGCAACUUUUUGUACUUUAUUUCAUUACGGGCAGGCACCUGGGUAGAACCACUGACCUUCCGUAAGCCAGCUGGAUGGCGUCUUCAUGAAGAAUUCAAUGCCCUGAGUGAGGCUUGGACCCACAUCGAUGAGGGGCAAAUGAUUUGAAGUCAGCGACCGUAUCCACUCGGCCACGGAGGCCCCUGUAUGCACUAUAAAAAGUCAGGAUAGUAUCUUUAUAAAUUGUAACAUUUCAUUCUUAUAUUUACAGACAGCCCUUGAAAGAAAUAAUUUUGUUAGGUGUAUCAAGUCUGCAAGAAAAUUUCACCAUUUUUGUUUGUUGCAAACCAUGUCAUAUGAGGAGUUUUUUAAGUUGUGUAAAAGUUUAUGUAAUUGAGCUGGUAUGGAAAAAUGUAAUGUGUCGUUUACAGACUACUGUUCAUUUAAAUGUGAUAUAUUAGUUUCUGUAUAUAGCUGUUUGAAGUUCUGCUAGCUUGUGCAUUAGAAUAUACAGCAACGAUUGUUAUAUCAAAGUGACUUAUAUUAUUAAAGAUACUUUGAAUUGUU